UACGUAGGGGGCAAGCGUUGUCCGGAUUUAUUGGGCGUAAAGAGCUCGUAGGCGGCUUGUCACGUCGGGUGUGAAAGCCCGGGGCUUAACCCCGGGUCUGCAUUCGAUACGGGCAGGCUAGAGUGUGGUAGGGGAGAUCGGAAUUCCUGGUGUAGCGGUGAAAUGCGCAGAUAUCAGGAGGAACACCGGUGGCGAAGGCGGAUCUCUGGGCCAUUACUGACGCUGAGGAGCGAAAGCGUGGGGAGCGAACAGG
rnacentral:rRNA from 1 species